CCUACGGGUGGCAGCAGUGGGGGAUAUUGCACAAUGGGGGGAACCCUGAUGCAGCGACGCCGCGUGGGUGAAGAAGCGCCUCGGCGCGUAAAGUCCUGUCAGCCGGGAAGAAAAUGACGGUACCUGAAGAAGUAGCCCCGGCUAACUCCGUGCCAGCAGCCGCGGUAAUACGGAGGGGGAAAGCGUUAUCCGGUUUUACUGGGUGUAAAGGGGGCGCAGACGGCGGUGCAAGCCAGGAGUGAAAGCCCGGGGCCCAACCCCGGGACUGCUCUUGGAGCUGCUUGGCGGGAGUGCAGGAGGGGCAGGUGGAAUUCCUGGUGUAGCGGUGAAAUGCGUAGAUAUGAGGAGGAACACCGGUGGCGAAGGCGGCCUGCUGGACUGCAACUGACGUUGAGGCCCGAAAGCGUGGGGAGCAAACAGGAUUAGAUACCCGAGUAGUC
rnacentral:rRNA from 1 species